rnacentral:lncRNA from 1 species
GUGGCUGUGUCGCAGACAAGUUUCACAUAGCCUUCAGUUCUAUGUGUUUACAAAUCAGCACGUGAGCGAAUGGCCACCCACGCCCGUAGGUGGGUGUGACAAGGGGUGGCAAACUGUGUAGUGAGAAGUACAGUUUGUUUGACUCCUUGUCUGGGCAUAGUGAGAGGUAAACCUUGUUUGAAGCCUUGGCUGAGGGUAGUGAGGAGUACAGCUUAUUGGAAGCCUUGUCUGAGGGUAGUGAGGAGUACAGCUUAUUGGAAGCCUUGGCUGAGGGUAGUGAGAAGUUAUUGGAAGCAGGGUAGUGAGGAGUACAGCUUAUUGGAAGCCUUGGCUGAGGGUAGUGAGAAGUACAGCUUAUUGGAAGCCUUGGCUGAGGGUAGUGAGAAGUACAGCUUGGUUAAACCCUUGGCUGGGGGUCGUGAGGAUUACAUCUUAUUCACAAAAUUAUUGAAAUUAAUAAUUUUCCUUUUUUUUUCUUUAUUAAACAGAUCUAGAAUUUCUUUAUGUUUAGAGUUCUUGUCUACUUCAAUUAUUAAGUAAGUGUUAAUAUUUGUGUGUGAAAAAUGCAAAAAUCUAAUUUGAAUGCCAAUUUUGGCCUGUGUUUGUGACCAAGUGGCUACGAAAAAAGACUGGACAUACUCCAUUUGCAAUACAUUGGGUUGUCUACUAUUGCAAACGGUAUGCUAUCAUGUGGGUAAUUCUCAUUCUUGGCUACCAUACGAUCUCAAAGGCAACAUAACCAAUCUGGUGUAUAUAAAUGUGAAAAAACUGAAUGCAAGCCUUAUAUUUGACUCUGUAACUUUUGAAAACACCAUAAAACCUGUACAUGGGGGGCACUGUUAUACUUGGGAGACUUCGCUGAACACAAAUAUUAAUGUUUCAAAACAGUAAAAUGUAUCACAACAAUUAUAUCGUGAGUGUAAGUGCCAUUUAUGUGUGAAAAAUGCAAAAAAUUUAACUUUCACGGACGAUAUCAUCGUUGUAAUACAGUUUAAUGUUUUGAAACACUAAUAUUUGUGUUCAGCGAGGUCUUCAGAGUAAAACAAUACCCCCCCAUAUACAGGUUUCAUGGUGUCUUGGAAAGUUACAGGGUUAAAUAUUGUGCUUGAAAAUUAAAUUCUCUGCACUUUCUGCCUGGGUUGUCAGGCAUGUCAGUCAAAUUUUAAUUAAUAAAAUCACAUAAUUAUGCUAAAAGAUUACUUAAAUAUACACGUAGAAUUUUAAUAUAUAUACAUAUAUGUAUUUAAAUUGUAUUUUAUAUAUAGAUAGAUAAAUAUAGAAUGUCAUUCUAAGUGUAUUUUGUUACCUAUAUAUAUAUGUUAAUAACAAAAUACAGUUAGAAUAAAAUUACAUAUGUGUGUAUAUAUAAUUUAUUUUCAUUUAAAAAAAAUUUUUAUUUUAUUAUUGUAAUUUUACGGAUAUAUAUAAAUCUAAUAAAUAAAUAAAUAUAUAUAUAUAUAUAUAUAUCUUAUGUAUAUGUAACUUCAUUCUAUUUUUAUUACUAAUAUAUGUACUUAUAUUAUUAAAAUACACUACGUAUGACGUUACAUAUAUAUGAUGUAUAUAUAUUAUUAUUACUAUAUGAAGAUAGACAGAGUUAGCGAGAGGAAAUCUGACGCCAAGUUUGUAUUGGUUGUAGGGUAAUUAGGGCAUAACCCAAAAUAAAGAUUAGACUAGGCUUGCAAAAAACCAGACCCAUACUAAUCCUAUUACCCUUGUUUGAAUUAACUAAACAGGUAUUAGGCUAGGUGCCUUGAUUAAAAACACAAACUUUAAGUCCCUAUACGGGUACAGAACUCACACACAAAAAGAAAAUAAAUGCAGUGCAUAGGCGUGCGCACGGGGUGUGUCUGGGCACACCCUAAUCCUCGCGGCACACAUUAUCUGCCUCCCUCCAUGGGCCGGUGAGGGAGAUCAAAGAUCUCCCUCACCGACCCACAGGCAGGGAGGGAGGCAGGAGAGGACCCGGUGAGCUCAGCACACACACACACCAACCUUACACACACAGAACACACUAACAGCACCCACACACACUAACAGCACCUUCACACAUACAUACAGCACACAUUAACAGCACCCUUACACACAGCACCUUCACAUACACAUACACACACACACACACACACACACACACACACACACACUAACAGCACCCUUACACACACAGCGCUUUCACACACACACAGCAGUAUAUGUGUGUGUAUAUAUAUAUAUAUAUAUAUAUGCGGCAUGUGUGUUUGUGCUUUAGGGUGCACACCCUUAUACAAUAGGCUGCACACGCCUAUGACGUAGUGAAAGUGUCAAAAUAAAUGUGCUUGAAAAACAAAAAAGUAGUAAAUUUACUUGUUUAAAAGUGUUUUUUGCAAGCCUAGUCUAAUCUUUAUCUGUAUAUUAUUAAUAUAUAUAUAUAUAUAUAUUACAUAUAAUAUAUAUAUCUAUAUUUAAUUUAUUUUAAACAUGUUUAAUAAUUUUUUUUUACACUACCCACCAGCAGGGGGACUGUCUGACAGCCUAGACAGUCUCCCUGCUGGCAGAUCCACAGCCAGCUAUAGGGGGCCAUGUGCUCGCUCUUUGAGAGCAAUCACAUGGUCCCCGGGGGCCUGAUUUGCCGUGGGAGGGCUGCCUAGGCUGUCAGGCAGUCCUCCCGAAGAGGAUUGCGGCGGAGGGUAGUACCGUGGACCUCCUGGGGGCUUAAGCUCUUACAGCGUUCUAUGCCGCUGCGACAGCUUUAAAGCCCAUUUAAAUGGGGACAGCAUAGAACGCUGUAACGGCAUUAAGGGGUUAAUAAAGGCAAUCCUACCAAAACGUUGGGGGCUAUUUUUUCCCCCCAAUAUAUUGACACCUCUCAGACUCACUGUUUAGUAGGUUUACCCCCCAAACUGCAUGGGUUGUUUUAUUUUGUAUGUAUCUACUCCUGGUUAAUGCAUUAGAUGUUUUUUCUGCUAAUUUAUAUCAUACAUCACUUUGAGACCGCAGUCUCAUUCAAAAAGCUUUAGCUUUGAAUGAGCCAGUUCAUUCACUAUGCAUGUAAUUUGUUUACAUGCUUCUUCUUUCUUAUGCUUUCUUCAGCCACUGCAGGUGUGGCAAAGAUCUAACCAAUCAGUAAUUUCAUCCCCAGGAAUGCUGGAAAAGUGCAUUGGGCAUGCCUGACAAAUUUAUACAUGAGCCAUUUCAAGCUCUUCACCUUGCAACUUCCUGACAAGGGGAAAAGAGAGGGCAACUGCUGUGUGAUCAUGCAGAGCAGGCUCCGGUAUCAGGUUUCUCUCUCUCUACUGCUGCUGCACAAUGAAAAGGGCUGCCAUCAGAAAUUUUAGGGCCCCUGACACAGCUCAAGGUCUGGGUCCCCCGGUGCCUGCACCCGAGUCUGCCCAAAGUGCUGCCCCCCCACGCCAGCCCCCCGAGUCCGCCCACAGGGAUGCAGUGUCUGUACUGAUUCUGUUGUGUGUGUAUAGUGGAUGCAGUGUGUAUAGUGGAUGCAAAUUGUACAUUUGUGUAAUGUAUGAGGUGUAUAUUAGAUGCAGGUUGUGUGUUUGUGUAGUGGAUGUAGUGUGUGUUUAUAGUGAAUGCAGAGUGUGUAUGUGUGUUUGUGUAGUGGAUGUAGUGUUUGUGUGUAUUAAAUGCAAUGUGUAUAGUGAAUGCAGAGUAUGUUUGUGUAGUGGAUGUAGUGUGUGUAGUGAAUGCAGAGUGGAUGUAGUGUUUAGUGAAUACAGUGUGUGGAUGCAGAGUGUGUCUUUGUGUAGUCGAUGUAAUGUGUGUAUAGUGACUACAUAUAGUGUGUGUACAUUUUAGUGAAUAUUGUGUGUAUAUGUUAGUGUAUAGUUUGUAUAAAUGUUAGUGAAUAGUGUGUGUAAAUGUUAGUGUAUAGCAUGUGUAAAUGUGAUUGUAUAGUGUGUGUAAAUGUUACUGUAUAGUGUGUGUAAAUGUUAGUGAAUAGUGUGUGUAAAUGUUAGUGUAUAAUGCAUGCACAUUCGGAGCUGAGAUGCGGAUCAGGGCGGAGAGAUCCCCAACGCCAAGGGAGUCCGGCGCUGGAGAAAGGUAAGUGCUUAAGACACACAUACACACUAGCUAACAGACACACACAUUUACUGACAGACACACAUUCAGUGACAGACAUACACUCACUAACAGACGCACACAAACUAACACACUCAGUAACAGACACACACAGUAACACACUGACACACUCUAACACACACACACUCUAACACACACUAACACACUCACACACACUCUAACACUAACACACACACGUAUAAAAAAAAAUUCAUCCCCCCAGCCUCCCUACCUUUGGGAGUGCUGAGGAAAUUCCCUGGGGUCCAGUGGUGUCACCCGGCGGCCGGUCCUGUGGGCUGGCGGGCGCGCGAGGGAGCACUCUCCCUGGCUGAGGGCUUCCUGUUCAGCUCCCUCGCGUGCAGUGUACUGAUGCCUGAGCCGGAAUAUGACAUCAUCUUCCGGCUCCGGCAUCAGUGCGGUGCGCGAGGGAGCUGAAGAGGAAGCACUCAGGAGAGAGAGCUCCCUCGCGCCCGCCAGCCCUCCCGCCGGGUUACACCAGGGCCAGCCUCGGGGGGCCCUGAGGUGACCGGCUGCUGGGCCCCCCAGGAGAAGAGGCUGGCCACAGUGGCAUACAUAUUAGGUCGCAGGGCGGCCGGGCCCCCUGUGACCCUGGUAUGUACGCCACUGAAUGUGGGGCCCGGGACGACCUGAGCAGUCCGGGUCCCCCCAGGACCGCCAGGUCCAUGACAACCGUUAUGGUUGUCAUGCCCUGAUGGCGGCCCUGAUAAUGAUGCCCUGUUUCUGUCAUUAGCGGACUGAGCAGGGAGGGUAAGAGGUUGAGGGUGGUGGGGGUGAGGGACUGGUAAAGUUAUGGAGGCAAUUUUAAGUAAUUAAUAUUAAUUUUGUUUAUAUACUAGCUUCUCUGAAAGUCAUGACAAUUCUGGGAGCAAGCUUGGCCAAACAUUAUUAUAAGAUUUAUUCCAAUGCUCAGCAAAGGGAAACUUCAAUACUGGAGGCUCAUUUAUGCCAGGGCUCAACAUUUGCGGCGAGUAAAAAUGUAACUUUGGUGUAUAUGUUAUAGCUUACAGUGGUGAGUAACUUUUAAGACCUGAUUUACGUGAUAAACAUAUGUAUAGUCAGGGAACUGUUUUACGUGAUUACGACCAGUUACAGGUCUAUAUGCAGGAUUUUAGAGAUUUUUUUUCUUAGUGAGAACAUUUUAACUCCUUAAGGACCAAACUUCUGGAAUAAAAGGAAAUCAUGACAUGUCAUGUGUCCUUAAGGGGUUAAAGGAUAAGUGUCGCUUCGCAGGAAAUAGAUUUACAUAUACACACACACACCACUUUUUAUUUUAUUUUUUAUUUUUUUAACAAUAUAAUGAACAAUAUUAAUGACAUAAAAAUGUUACGAUAUUAUAUAAACAAAAAUAAAACUGGAAUAAUAAUACAAAAUAAUCGUCUGGAAAUGUAUGUGUAAUAUCUUCAGUAAAUUAUUAUGGUGCAAAAUGUUAUAAAUGCUUAUAAUACCUUACCUCGUAUUCUUUGUCUAAUAUAAUUUCCAAUUUAACAAUUGAUUUAAGUUUGUUUCAAAUGUGUAACAAAUAGAAACAGUUUGUUUACGGGCAGGAUCUGAAAGUUAUUUUUUAUCAUAGUGGACAUUUACAAUUUACAAUUAGCAAGAUCCUGUCCGGAAAGUCCACAUCUAUCGCUAAUGGUGUUAAUCAUUGUCUUAUAUAUUGGGGCAUCUGAACUAUUCAAAUCAAACUCGUCCUUUGGUUGAUGAAAAGAAAACAGUUUGUUAGAUUUUAAAAAAUUGUCACUAUGUAUAAUAGAGUGAGAUGUCCCACACACACCACUUUAACACAGAACACAAAAACUCUGUGUAAAGUUAGUAGUAACCCAUGAAUCCCAGGACAAAGUACUUCAACUCUUUAGGUCAAACAAUGUUGCUUCUGCUGCACUUGGAUAAAUUUGAUUGUCUAGAUUCAAAUCCAGAUUACAGAAUGCUGUAUCUUUUUUUCAUCUUUCAAAAAUGCGAGUUGAUCGGAAACAGAUAGAAAAAAAUACCUUAUGCACUUGGAGUCACCAUUAGUUAUCAGAGUUUAGAUGUUAUAAUGAGAAAGUAUCACCUUCUUGUCCCUUAUGUAUAUGACUAUGAUGUCAUCACUCAGCAUUAUGACCUCAUUACUAAGUGAUGAACUACAUUAAGUUUAGGUUAUUUAUGAGUACUUACCACGUCUAUCCUAUUCCAGAAUAGAUUAUUUUUUCACAGAUCUGGUAGUUUUUUAAUCUCGUGAGAGAUCUAGUAUCAUGGAUGUGGUCUGGACAGAUCAUUCGGCUCUUAUUCCUGACAAAUUUAUAGGAUGUAGAGGGAAAACUCGGUCAUCAUGGUGCUCGAAUGAGACACUUUUGAGAGUGAAGGAAAAUCUGGAUUAUCUGAAAGACAUGACAAAACUAUACUUUGAAGAAAACACCAGGGAAGAUGUCUCUAAUGACACCAUUUGAUGUGUGUAUAAGAACGUAAUAAGGGGUCAUUUGAUAAACUUAGGCUUUGAAAUUAAAAAGAGAAAAGGUCGCUCCUUAAAACCAGUUGUAUGUUGAGCUCAGUAAAUUAUCAAAGGAGAAUAAAAGCACUCCCUCUUUAUGAGUUACUGAACAAAUUACUAAGAUCUCCUCUAUUAGAAAUAUUUUAAUAGAAAAAGCUAACUUCUCGGGCUGAAAAAAUGCUUACAAGUAGGCUCAGAAAAAGAACGGCUGGCUCAAGGAUUGCCAAAUUGAUAUAUGAAGGAGAAAUAUAUAAAAGUCCAAAGUCAGUUGGUAAAGGCUUCAAUAAAUUUUACAAGGGACUAUAUAAUCUCACCAAUGGUUCUUCCUCCUUGGAAAAUAUUAGUGAUUACCUGAGAAAUAGAUAAAAACAAAAUUGGAGGAUUUGAACAUGCCACCAGAUGGCUUCUCCAACAUUUUUUAUAAACAAUUUAAAUUGGAACUGGCAGGUCAGCUGACCGUAUUGUUUAAUAAUAUUAAGGAUGCAAUAUAAUUAAGAAGGUAGGCACACUAAUUGAAUAACAUAAGGACAGGGCCGGUGCAAGGAUUUUUGCCGCCGUAGGCAAAAAAUUUGUUUGCCUCCCCCCCACGUAGUGACAUCACAAUGUCCUACCCAUAUGAUCCACCCAUGUCAUGACAUCACAUAUGCCCAAUCCCUGAGGGAUUGCUUCUACAUCAGUCUGACCAUCUGGCCAGUAUUAACGGUCUUUGCUGGGUCUGCCUGGGCAGCUCAUUUGCCCAGACUCCAGUAAAGCCGCCACAUGUGCGCAGCCCAUUUUAUUAGGGUAUGCACCAGGAAAUUUUUCCCCUAUGUUAUAUGUAAUGUGAAUAUUUUCAAAAUGUUGAGCGGAUGUGUGGUGUGGGUGUGGCUGUGUCUGUUGUGUAGGGUGGAUGAACGUGGUAUAGCUAUGUGUGGAGUGAAUGUUUUGGCUUUCUGUGCGUGAUGUAUUAGGCUGUGUAAUGUGUGCAUAGCUGUCAGUAUCUGCGUGUGGGUAGCUGUGAGCGGUAUGUGUGGCAGUGUGAGAAGCUGUGAGUGAUACGUUUCGGCCGCUCUGAGUGUUAUGCGUGGCAAUGUGUAAUGUGUGGAUAAUUUAUGUAGGAAGUAGUGUAAUUUCCAUUUAGUACAAGAUGGAAAGGAAGAUUCAAGUUAUCUCCCCCUCAGCCCAAGAUAGCUGGGGGGUGGGGGAGUUUAGGUGCUGUAGUGAGGGUUUAAAGUAAGAGGCUGUUGUGAUGGAUAGGGACAGUAGUGGAUGUUAUGGGUAGUGGUAUAGGGGCUGCAGUGGGGGUGUAGUGAGGAGUUAGGGGGGUGUAGUGAGUGGUUAGAGGAUUAAAUAAGGGAUUAUAAGUUGUAGUGGAGGGAUAAGGGCUGAAGUGAGUGUUUAGGGGCUAAGUGGUAGGUUAGGACCUGCGUUGGGGGGCGGGGCGGGUGGUCAGGGGCAGUAGCAGGGGGUCAGGGGCAGUGGUAGGGGAGCAGGGGCAUAGUGGGGGGUUAGGGUCAGUAAUGGUGGGUUAGGAUCUUCGAUGGGUGGCUAGGGGCUUAGGACCUGUGGUGGGUGGUUGGGGCAAUAGUAGGGGGUUAGUGGCAGUAGUAGAGGGUUAGGGCCAAUAGUAUGUGGUUAGGGGCAGUAGUGGGAGGUUAGGGGCAUUAGUAGAGGGUUAAGGGCAGUAGUGGGUGGUUAGGAGCAUUAGUAGUGAGGGGUUAGGACCUGUGUUGGGUGGUUGGGGCAAUAGUUGGGGGUUAGUGACAGUAGUAGAGGGUUAGGGUCAAUAGUGUGUGGUUAGGGGCAGUAGUGGGGGGUUAGGGGCAUUAUUAUAUUACUACGUAAAUGGUUUACAUUUCCCCCAUGCCCACAGUGACUUCUCUGGUCUAGGGGGAACCCAUGCCCAUGGUUCCUUCUCCAGCCUGGGUUCUGCAUUGCUUCAGGUGAUGGGCUUAUGCAACACUUCAUGUUUCAUAUGUUAUUUGAGUCCUCUACUCAGAAUCUGAUGGCUUCAGAAUGCAUUGGUUUUGCUCUCUACAUAUGCAUUCAUGAAAGGGGUCCCUAUUCAAGAAUGCAUUUUUUUUAUUGUUAUACAAAUUUUUGGCCUGUUUUCUAUCGCCUGCUGAACGGUUCCCACAAGAGUGUCCUUUGGACUGGGUGCUGCCUCAGGCGACUGGAAUGAACAACAACACCUCAAUAUAUACAAUUGUAAUCAAAAUUAUUUAACCAUCAUUGAAAAUCAGUUUUAUUGUCAUAAUGUACAGACUUUCAGCUGUUUGGAAUGAGCAAAUCAAACAAAAGCAAUUGAAAUUGCUCACACACAACAAUGAAUGCUUCAAGUGGUUUUCCUGAAAAGGCAACUUAAAACUACUUCUCCCUCUCAAAAUUAUUUAACCCCCUGGAUAGUAUCCUUCACAAUAGCACAAAUAUGCAAAAUAGGCAUAUGCUUAAACACACAUGAUUCAACUAAUCUACAGCUUCAUUAGUUUCGCUUGAACUAGAACACUUUAAUACCUGAACUGGGUAGGGGUUUAUUGAGUGUCACGUGUGACUGCAUGUUAGGAAUAUGGCCAUGUCAAAAGAAUGGUUCACAAAAUUAAGAGAAGAGAUCAUCGCCCUUCACAAACAAGGAAAAGGUUACAAAAAGAUAGAAAAGGCACCGAAUGUUCCUAGAAACACCGUUGGAAGCAUAGUACGCAAGUUCAAAGUUGAAGGAGGAGUGGUUACACUACCUGGACAGUGCAGUGAAAGGAAGCUAUCAAUCAUUGCAACCAUAUUUCUAUGAAGGCAGGUUGUAAAAAAUCCUCGAGUGACUGCAAAAUACAUGCAGCAAAACUUGGUGGCAGCAGGCAUGGUGGUUUCAGUGAGCACAGUAUGGUGUGUAUUAAACGCAGAAGGUUUUCAUGCCAGAACUCCAAGACGUACACCACUACUGAACCAAGAGCUCAAGAAAAGUUGGCUCCAGUAUGCUGUAAAUCAUAUAAAUAAGCCACUGAAGGCUUAGGAUUCUGUCUUGUGGAGAGAUGAAACAAAACUGGAACUUUUCAGCCCAAUGGAUCAGCAGUAUGUCAGGAGAAAAAAAGAACAAAGCAUAUGCUGAAAAGAACACUCUACCUAAAGUUAAGCAUAGUGGUGGCUCGGUGAUGCUCUGGAGCUGCUUAGCAUCCUCUUACACUGAAAACUUAAGAAAAUGGAAGUCAAGAUGGACUAAUUAGAGUACCAGGAAAUCUAGGAGACUAAAGGAACACUAUAGGGUCAGGAACACAAACAUUUAUUCCUGAUCCUAUAGUGUUUAAUCCACCAUUUAUGUGACUUUCCCCACUUAGAAAAUGUUAAAACUCACCUUAUUUUCAGCAUCGCGCGGGUCCAAAGAUGCUGGCCCCAUCCCAGAUCAGCCUCCUUGGUGACAUCAUCAGAAUAUCGUUUUUUAGCCAAUCCAAUGUUUUUCCGUAGGGAGAAGUCGUUAUAAGUUGCAAUUUCAGUUUAAUUUGGGGAAACCACUUAAAACAUUUGUUCUGUUGAGCUGAAAGUCUGUAUAUUUUGAUAAUAAAUCUUGUUUUUAAUGGUGGUUGAAUAAAACUGUUUUAUUUCCAGUUUUAAUCCAGUUCACACUGCCUUUUCAGGGAGGUGGAUGUGGUACUUUGACGUAUUGAUCAUACAUUACAUAAGCCUGCCACAACUUCAAUGUAACUCAUUUUAGACUGGUCUUAUCCUAGCAAAAUAAUGUAUGCUUCUUUGAGGAGUCUCCACACAUAGCUUGUAGUAGUAUUAAUUCAACUUUUUUCCAUCAAAAGUAGAAGUUUCAAGACUCCAUCAGAGUUUCCAGAUACAAGAAAAACAGGUCAACGUUUCAGUCCCGGAUCAGGACUUUCCGCAGAACAAACUUUAACACUACCCAGUGCAUAGAACUGCCUCUGCCGAGCUGUCUUCUUCACAUCUACAUAUAGUGCAUCCUGCUGCCACCUCUUCCCCAGGUAGAUAACGCACACAAACCCAGCCAUCCACCUGAUCUAAAAGAAAACAUGAUUCAUCAGACCAGACAACCUUCUUGUAUUGCUCCAUGGUCCAGUUCUAAAGCUCACGUCCCGAUUAAAGGUGAUUUCAGUGCAGAGGGAUGGGAAUCAUGAGCACUCUGACUGAUCCGAAGCUAUGCAGUUAAGAGGACAGAGUCACUUCACCCAGACCACUUCAAUGAGAGGAAGUUUUGAAAAUGCAAAAACAGCUACAGCAUUUCUGGAUAAUCUCAAUGUCCUCCACAAAAAUACAAUUAUCAGAUGACCACAUUUCGAUAAAAGUGGGAGUGAAGUGUGGACACCGGAUAAUAGUAUUUUGUGUAUUACUUUCAGGCCUCUCCUGGCAGUGAUGAUAGGCUGAAUUCAUGCAGUUUGGUUGCAGUUCAACAAAUCAAGGGACUAAUCUCUCUAACACAGCUCCUGAUCAUGUCACACUAUCUGUGAAGCAGUCUAAGUGGCAUCAUGUAAUAUAUAUCAAAAGAGGGGAGGCGGAGCCAACAACUGAGCCGAGCAGACGUGCUUCUGGUGUGCUCCCCGCUCAAUGGAGCCUAAACGCUGAAUAAAGCGGAUUUUACGCACCCAAAGACUCCCAAACUCAAGGGGAACCGUGCUCACGAUGAUGGAUUGCAAAAAUAAGAAAUACAGACCCAAAAAAACCCUAGCGAGCUGUUGUGGAGGCCGCAGAGACCUGUCAUGGUGCCUUGCUCCGACGAGCUCUCCCGAUCAUCCAGUGAGGCUUCUCUAGCGGAUAUGGGGAUGGCUAGCCAGCAGGUUGUACAUACCCCCAUGCCUCCUGCACCUACUGGUGGCUCCCCAGUAACGGAGACAUAGGCCAGUUCCAAGAGGAGCUUGGAGGAGUCUCCACACGUCUCCACGAUGCGGAGCUUAACACAGCGGCUCAUGAAACCCGACUUUCCAGUCUUGACUUUCCAAACUACAGGUGUUACAAUGCGAACACAUCCUAGUUCAAGACCACAUGUCAACUAUGGAGGACAGGAGGAGGUGGAAGAAUGUAAAGGUGCGCGGCCUAGCUAACAACAUGGAGGCUGCUGAAAUUCCCCACUUCUUCAGGAGACUGCUGUUGAAUCUCUUUAAUGCCAAACAAGCUAAAGCUAUGCUGUUGGAUGGCUGCUACAGAAUAACAGCUUAACCCAAACCUACAGCAGAGACCUUCAGAGACGCUAUUAUCUGCUUCCAGAACAGACAAGACAGCCUGACCUUCACGACAGCAGUUUGCAACAAAUCACCAAAUAAGUUUGAGGAUCACUCUUUAACAUUCUACCCAGAUCUCUCCAAGGCCACGUUGGACUGGCAAUGAACCUUGCAACCGCUAACUAAGGAGCUUGCUACCCACAAAGUGCUAUAUAAGUGGGGCACUCCACGAUGCCUGAUCAUCCCUAGAGACUCUGGAACUUUAAAGAUUACGGAUGCUUCAGAGAUCCCUGCUGCCCUCCACACGCUGGGACUGAAAGCUGACGCAGCAGAGCUGCCUCCUCCAACAACAUCGCGACCACAGAGGUCCUGGGACCCUGACAGGGUUCAACCUUUUGUGCCAGCUGCACUGAGAGGGAGCCCCGCAAUGGCAGUGAUACCAUGAACACAGACUGCAGGCAACCUCUGCUGCCCCUCAAUAUCAAUGUUAAUGUUAUCACUCAUACAUUAAGUUUCACUAUUUUAUAUGUUAUUUUUCUCAAGCUAUAAUAUGCUGAGUGCCCCUAGAGGCUCACCUUUAUGUACAGCCUAGAUGUACCUGCUGGCAAAUGGGGUAUAAUCCCCCAUACUAUCCUUACCCCACACCCCUGACCCAAGUCACCCCCAUUUUGACGUAUCGACCCUCUUUUAGCACAUGGGUGAUAGCCUAUGGCGACCUGUUCUAAUAUACCUACCUUCAGGCUUACAUGUCGCUAAGGCAGCUGGCAUUCUCUACUCCAAUGCAAAUACUAAACCGCACAUGUCCUAACUCCCUCUGGGGCGAGAUGCCUCUAAUACUACAUUUAUAUCUUACGAUACUUAACCUUUACAUUUAACUUGUUUGUCUACCAAAAGGGGAAAAAAAGGAAAAGAAAAAUGUGCCAUUCUUAUUGCCACUGCUUAGCAUGUGUGUCUCUAUUUACGCUGUUGUGGCGUUUUACGUUGUCUUGUAAUCACCUGCACGACAAAAAAAAAAUAAAGAAUAAAAUAUAUAUAUAUAUAUAUAUAAGAAGAGAAAGAAAAAAAUUCUAACUCUCUAACUUCAUUUUGUUAUAUUUUUUUUAUUACCAUUAAAACCAGAAACAUGGUAUAUAGUCAUUUUUUGUGUAUGAUAUUGAAAUCCCAACAUGUAAAAACACAUAUCAGGGAGGUGGCUUCCCCAGAUAUAGCCCUCCCCACACACACAGCCAUCAAACAUGUAUGAACACCUUGACACAAAAAUACACACACUGGCGCAUGCACACUAACAUGAACACAGAUACACACACACACUGGCAUACAAACUUGCACACACUCACUGACACACACACUGACAUACAGAUACACACUGGCACAUACACACACUAUUACACACUGAUACACAGACAAUCUGACACACAUAGACACAUACAUGUCAUGCUUUAUAUGCAGCCACUCUUCUGUUGCAAGAGUGCAUGAUUCUGAAUGCAUGUCCAGUACCCAAUUUAUUUUUCCCAUCAUAUUUGUCUCCUUAUCUAUGUUUCUCCAUCCAUCAUUUCUGUUCACUUUUGUUUAUCACCCUAUCAUCAUUUGUGUCUCUUCCCCCCUUCUACCUUUUUUUAUCCCAUCUCUCACCCAGUUCUGCAUUGGUACACCCACAUAUCCUACCCAUUUGUGCUUCUUUUCCCCAGUUGUGGGGAACACAUUUGUUCUCUCCACUGUUUCUUGCCCUUAUUUUUUUAUUAACGCCUUGUGCCGUAUUUGUCUACCCACCACUUGUUUCUCUUUGCCUCAUCUCCCAUCCACAUUUGCCUCUUUCCCUAUCCCCUACUUAAAGGACCACAAUAGGCACCGAGACCACUUCAGCUUAAUGACGUCGCUAUGAAGGAGGGGAAGAGGAGGAGAGCUCCCCGUCCGGCGCUGGAGAAAGGUAAGAUUUUAACCCCUUCCUCUCCCCAGAGCCCGGCGGGAGGGGGACCCUGAGGGUGUGGGCACCCUCAGGGCACUAUAGUGCCAGGAAAACGAGCAUGUUUAUUAUUAUCCUCUACUUGCUAUUACAUGAUGUGUUCCUUUAAGCACCUUCCGAUAUGCAAUUUCCUCCAAUUUAGGCCUAUUUCCCCUUCCCCCUGCACCUCCUAUGUUUCUCCAACCUCCUGUGUCUCUCCCCAUCUGUUUCCCUUCUUCCUGGAGUUUAGAAACUGGCAGUGGUGUGAAUUGUCCUCAGUCCUGUCCUUUCAGUGUAGUUUCCAGUGCUGUGUGAAAGGAGAGACACAGAUGGAUAUGAUGUUAUGCCAUGUUCCUGCCCCUCUCCAUUCUUACAAUACUUCUCCAGUUUUACGACAAAGUCUGAAGGAAAAUACAUUAUCAUGCACAUUCCAUGUUAGCUGCUCUACACAAGCUAUUAAAAAAAGAGUUAUUUACGUGAGUUGGCAUUAGCAACCUAAGGAAAUCCCAAACACGUGAAUGGAAAAGGGAUUAAAAAACUACUAAUUGGAGGUAUGAAAAGUAAAUGCAAAUUAUUAUUAAAUAAACUAAAAACAAAAUUGUUUGCGCUUAAUUCAACAAAUGAGGAUGAAAUAUCCAAGAAAAACCACUAAAAGGCAGCCUUCAUUAGCCAAUUCACCCGAUGCCUGGCCCCUUAAAGUCCUCAUCGCCAUGGGAUGGGGAGUUUGGUAGCAACCGGGCAACAGCAGUUGCCCAGUUGCUAGUUUAAUCACAGUGGGCAGCUGCGGGUGGGAGCAUAAGGAAGAUUUUAUACCAGACAUAUACUAAUAUGAGGGUCAUACUGGACCCCUUAAGCAGUCCACUCAUGAUUAAUUCUUGCUCCACUGAGUUGUUUGGCGUCCAAAUCAGUUUUUCUAAAUUCAGCUAAACUGAACCAUCACAUUGAUGAGCGUUAGACUUCCCAAACAAAAUGUCUAACUCAGGAAACUUUGUUUGGACAAACUGAACAAGUCUAGUCACAGUGAAAUAAUCAUAUUUUAGAAUAGUUUAUUAUUUAUAUCAAAAAGAAAUACUUCAGUUACCAAACUUGUUUGUGAUGUGGGUUUAAUAGCAAGUAGAGGAUAAUUAUUCGCUGGUGUCAGAGAAAUUAUGCCACAAUGUGUACAAAUGUCACAAGAAUAUCGCAGCAAUUGCUCUGGCAUAAGAAAAGACCCAUUUUGGAGUGGUCUGUUUCAGAUAUGACACCAAAAUGAUGCAUAGCGUCACAAUGUCUGGCACAUUGGUGCAUUAAAAACAAGUAAAAUGACACCUAGUAAUGAUAAUUUUUCUAUAUGCCAGUAAUACUUCCUAAUCCCCAAAUACAGCAAUAUAAUAUGGGAGGAUUUCACUAAAAUAUGAUCUAGGCUGAAUAAUUUAGGCAAUGUCAUAUUUAAUGAAAAAAUUAAUAAUUCCCUGGUCUCAGUCUUAUUUAUUGUGAUUACAUAAUAAAAACUUUCAUAUUGCCACACUUCGGUAAACUAUAACUUGAGAAUAAAUCUGCCAGGGCAAGACAUAGUUCUGUAACCGUGUACACUGCUGGAAUCACUCCUUUUCUCUACCUACAGCCAUCAUAACAAUAAAUUAUUAUGUUGAUAAGCGGCUAUGCUUUGUACCUGAAUGCACUAACAGUAGUGACUCUCAAUUUGGUUUACACUCAAAAAAAAUUAAUUGUUCACUGUUUAAAUAAGGCCUGUGUGAAUAUAAAUAUAUAUUUUUUAAAACAAGUGAUUUGUUAUUGUAAGACUGCACACUCCUUAGGUCAGAUUGAGUAUGGUAGCACUUCGUUCUCGGGAUACGUUUUAAUGAAAUAAACUAUGCUGUUUUCACAAUAAUUAUCACAGGACUGGGCUUGCUUUCCUUUCUGUGUUCUUGCUGAUUGUGCUAAUCCUGAACAGUAACAGUUUUGUCUAAUAUUUUACUUUUACGCCUUAACUCUCAUAUACAAGUAAUUAUUUAGAGGGAGGGGGAAUGUGAAUUGUGUCAUAGUAAAAGGAAUAUGUAUGUAAGUAAGCUGGAAUUUUUCUCCAUGUAGACAUGAUAUUUCCCUUCACUCUGCCCUUUUCUUCCAGAUAACUACAAACAACAUGUAAUGCUAUUAUGGACAUGCCCCUUUAAAAAGUUAUUAUUUGUUGAACUUAUAUAGCACCAAUAUAUUCCACAGCACUUUACAAUUAUUGAAAGGGGAUAUCUAAAAGAUGAAGAAGGUCCUGCUCAAACAAGGUUACUAUAUAUGACAUAUGGAGGUAGGCAGAUAUAGAGGUCUGUCCGUAAAAAGUCCAGCUGUUGUUAAUAUACUGAGAAUGGUUUGUGCAAAAUUAAUGUAACCUGGAAGCCAAGGAGAGUGGAUUGGAAUGUGCAUGAGUGAACAAUGACGUCUUCAUUGUACUAGUCAAAAGGGGCGUUAGAUGCCAUUGAGUGAGCUUUGUGUCACCGAUUGGCCGUCACAUUCAAAAUGACUGAGUAAGUAGAACAAUGAAUCUGCAUCAAAUUUUGCAUUAAGUUUGAACAUUCCUCUGUGGAAACUAUUUGGAUUACUUAAAAGACUUUGGGGGACGAUGCAAAAAAGUGUAGUGCAAAUAAAAGUGUGGCACAAAUGCUUUGAAGAUGGUCGAGAAUCUGUGGAAAGAUUUGGCGCUCAGCGACUUCUGGCUUUUCCAAAAAAUAAAAUUUCCUUAGGAUGGGAAGAGAUUUCAGGCCAUCGAUGAGAUUCAGGUAAAUAUAACAAAGCAGCUGAUGUCAAUUACAUCAAAGGAUUUUGCAAAGUGUUUUGAACAGUGGAAGAGACACUGGGAGAGUUGUGUGAGGUCCCAAGGUGCCUACUUGAAAGAAGACUGAGGCCAUUGUCAUAUGUACAAUGUUUCUUGUAACAUGUAUCUUUUUCAAUAAAUGUUUAUAUUUUUCACAUUA